AAAACCGGGGGGGAGAAGCGGCAACAGCUCAGAUUUGAAAUCUGGCCCCUCCGGGGUCCGAGUUGUAAUCUGUAGAGGAUGCUUUUGGCGACGCGCCUUCCGAGUCCCCUGGAACGGGGCGCCAGAGAGGGUGAGAGCCCCGUAUGGUUGGACGCCGAACCUCUGUAAAGCUCCUUCGACGAGUCGAGUAGUUUGGGAAUGCUGCUCAAAAUGGGAGGUAAAUUUCUUCUAAAGCUAAAUACCGGCCAGAGACCGAUAGCGCACAAGUAGAGUGAUCGAAAGAUGAAAAGCACUUUGAAAAGAGGGUUAAAUAGCACGUGAAAUUGCUGAAAGGGAAGCGCUUGUGACCAGACUUGCGCCCGGUUGAUCAUCCAGCGUUCUCGCUGGUGCACUCUGCCGGGCUCAGGCCAGCAUCGGCUCUCCCAGGGGGAUAAAGGUCACGGGAACGUAGCUCUCUUCGGGGAGUGUUAUAGCCCGCGGCGGAAUACCCUUAGGGGGGGCCGAGGCCCGCGUUCGCAAGGAUGCUGGCGUAAUGGUCACCAGCGACCCGUCUUGAAACACGCCCCCAAAGAGGGGGGAAA
rnacentral:rRNA from 1 species